UACGUAGGGUGCAAGCGUUUAAUCGGAAUACUGGGCGUAAAGCGUGCGCAGGCGGCUUUGCAAGACAGAUGUGAAAUCCCCGGGCUCAACCUGGGAACUGCAUUUGUGACUGCAUGGCUAGAGUACGGUAGAGGGGGAUGGAAUUCCGCGUGUAGCAGUGAAAUGCGUAGAUAUGCGGAGGAACACCGAUGGCGAAGGCAAUCCCCUGGACCUGUACUGACGCUCAUGCACGAAAGCGUGGGGAGCAAACGAGG
rnacentral:rRNA from 1 species